rnacentral:rRNA from 1 species
AGAGUUUGAUCAUGGCUCAGGACGAACGCUGGCGGCGUGCCUAAUACAUGCAAGUCGAACGAGAAUUUCUUACACCGAGUGCUUGCACUCAUCGUAAGAAAUUCGAGUGGCGGACGGGUGAGUAACACGUGGGUAACCUGCCCAAAAGAAGGGGAUAACAUUUGGAAACAAAUGCUAAUACCGUAUAACCAUGAUGACCGCAUGGUCAUUAUGUAAAAGGUGGUUCUGCUAUCGCUUUUGGAUGGACCCGCGGCGUAUUAACUAGUUGGUAGGGUAACGGCCUACCAAGGUGAUGAUACGUAGCCGAGUUGAGAGACUGAUCGGCCACAAUGGGACUGAGACACGGCCCAUACUCCUACGGGAGGCAGCAGUAGGGAAUCUUCCACAAUGGGCGCAAGCCUGAUGGAGCAACGCCGCGUGAAUGAAGAAGGUCUUCGGAUCGUAAAAUUCUGUUGUUAGAGAAGAAUAUGAGUAAUAGUAACUGAUUAUUCACUGACGGUAUCUAACCAGCAAGUCACGGCUAACUACGUGCCAGCAGCCGCGGUAAUACGUAGGUGGCAAGCGUUGUCCGGAUUUUUGGGCGUAAAGGGAACGCAGGCGGUUUUUAAGUCUGAUGUGAAGCCUUCGGCUAACCGGAGAUGUGCAUUGGAACUGGAAACUUGAUUGCA